rnacentral:rRNA from 1 species
CGUAGGUGGCAAGCGUUGUCCGGAUUUAUUGGGUUUAAAGGGUGCGUAGGCGGCCCUGUAAGUCAGUGGUGAAAUAUCUCAGCUUAACUGAGAGGGUGCCAUUGAUACUGCGGGGCUUGAGUACAGAUGAGGUAGGCGGAAUUGACGGUGUAGCGGUGAAAUGCAUAGAUAUCGUCAAGAACUCCGAUAGCGAAGGCAGCUUACUAAGCUGUAACUGACGCUGAGGCACGAAAGUGUGGGGGAUCAAACAGGAUUAGAUACCCUGGUAGUCCACACUGUAAACGUUGAUGACUCGAUGUUGGCGAUACACAGCAGCGUCCAAGAGCAAUCGUUAAGUCAUCCACCUGGGGAGUACGCCGGCAACGGUG